CUCUCUCUCUCUCUCUCUCAGACCGUGGACCAAAAUCGUGGGAGUUCCUUAUGAGACUUUUAGCAGACCCAAAAUCCAACCCUAAUAUCAUAAGAUGGGAGGACGAGGCGAGUCACACGUUCCGCCUGGUCCAACCCCAAUACAUCGCUUCCAUGUGGGGUCAAAGGUCAAACAGAAAGGACAUUAGCUACCACAACUUCGCCCGCGCCCUCAGGUACCACUAUCACACGAAGUAUCUAAUCAAGGUGUCGGAGAGGCAGCUGGUCUAUAGGUGUGGUGAGCCCGCCAUCGCCUUCCUUACCGAUCUCAUGAAUCAACAGAGAGAGGAGGAGGGGAAGAGGUAUUGAGGAGGAGGAGGAGGAGGAGGAGGGGAAGAGGUAUUGAGGAGGAGGAGGAAGAGAAAGAGAAAGGAGGAAAACGGAGGAAAAAUUGAGAAGAGAGAGAGAGAGAGAGAGAGAGAGAGAGAGAGAGAGAGAGAGAGAGAGAGAGAGAGAGAGAGAGAGAGAGAGAGA